rnacentral:rRNA from 1 species
GUGCCAGCCGCCGCGGUAAUUCCAGCUCCAAUAGCGUAUAUUAAAGUUGUUGUGGUUAAAAAGCUCGUAGUUGAACCUUGGGCCUGGCUGGCCGGUCCGCCUCACCGCGUGCACUGGUCCGGCCGGGCCUUUCCCUCUGUGGAACCCCAUACCCUUCACUGGGCGUGGCGGGGAAACAGGACAUUUACUUUGAAAAAAUUAGAGUGCUCCAGGCAGGCCUAUGCUCGAAUACAUUAGCAUGGAAUAAUAAAAUAGGACGCGCGGUUCUAUUUUGUUGGUUUAUAGGACCGCCGUAAUGAUUAAUAGGGACAGUCGGGGGCAUCAGUAUUCAACUGUCAGAGGUGAAAUUCUUGGAUCAGUUGAAGACUAACUACUGCGAAAGCAUUUGCCAAGGAUGUUUUCAUUAAUCAGGAACGAAAGUUAGGGGAUCGAAGACGAUCAGAUACCGUCGUAGUCUUAACCAUAAACUAUGCCGACUAGGGAUCGGACGGUGUUAUUCAUGACCCGUUCGGCACCUUACGAGAAAUCAAAGUGCUUGGGCUCCAGGGGGAGUAUGGUCGCAAGGCUGAAACUUAAAGAAAUUGACGGAAGGGCACCACCAGGGGUGGAGCCUGCGGCUUAAUUUGACUCAACACGGGGAAACUCACCAGGUCCAGACACAAUAAGGAUUGACAGAUUGAGAGCUCUUUCUUGAUUUUGUGGGUGGUGGUGCAUGGACGUUCUUAGUUGGUGGGGUGACUUGUCUGCUUAAUUGCGAUACGAACGAGACCUAACCUGCUAAAUAGCCCGCAUUGCUCCGGCAGUGCGCUGGCUUCUUAGAGGGACUUUCGGCUCAAGCCGAAGGAAGUUUGAGGCAAUAACA